GGCAGGGUCAGAUGAGGAAAGAUACUCUGGGGAACUCACGCACGCAGAGGAAUAAGAGGAAGCAGUCGUUUUGCAUGUAAAGCCAGGCUGAUCCAGAGCAGGCAGGUGGCAUGCAAGGCUGAGGGACUGGCAGGCUGGCAGCAUUGCCCAGAGGAGCUCAGUCUGGGAGCACAGAGACAGCGCAUCUCUGGGACCAGACUCUGCAGGCACAGAGUGAGGACCAGCAGCUCUCCUCUGGCUGCAGCCCUUGUAUAUAAGGCUGCAAAGCUGCAAUCAUCUCGAGGAACUCUGUGCAGCAGCAGGAGCUUAUCCCAGAGGGAAACACCUGGAGGAGCCCGGGAGUCAGGCAUCAUGGGCCGCGGGUCUCAGACUCUGUCCAAGAAGCAGUCAGGGGAAGAUGCCAUCUUUCCUCAGACCAUCACCCCUACGCUGGGCCUGGCUGCAUGGAGCGUCUGUGACUACUUGAUUAGGUUUAGACUCCCCAUUUAAAAAGGAAAUUCAGGCUCAUGAAAAAAGAUUUGGAAAAUACACAAAUAAUACUCAUUUGCAC
rnacentral:lncRNA from 1 species